GAUGAACGCUGGCGGCGUGCCUAAUACAUGCAAGUCGAGCGAACAGACGAGGAGCUUGCUCCCUGACGUUAGCGGCGGACGGGUGAGUAACACGUGGAUAACCUACCUAUAAGACUGGGAUAACUUCGGGAAACCGGAGCUAAUACCGGAUAAUAUAUUGAACCGCAUGGUUCAAUAGUGAAAGACGGUUUUGCUGUCACUUAUAGAUGGAUCCGCGCCGCAUUAGCUAGUUGGUAAGGUAACGGCUUACCAAGGCAACGAUGCGUAGCCGACCUGAGAGGGUGAUCGGCCACACUGGAACUGAGACACGGUCCAGACUCCUACGGGAGGCAGCAGUAGGGAAUCUUCCGCAAUGGGCGAAAGCCUGACGGAGCAACGCCGCGUGAGUGAUGAAGGUCUUCGGAUCGUAAAACUCUGUUAUUAGGGAAGAACAAAUGUGUAAGUAACUAUGCACGUCUUGACGGUACCUAAUCAGAAAGCCACGGCUAACUACGUG
rnacentral:rRNA from 1 species